rnacentral:RNase_P_RNA from 1 species
ACAGUGGUUCGGCUUGUCGCUGGUUGUUUUCUCGCUUUAGAGAAACGACGAGAGGAAAGUCCGGGCAACAUAGGACAAUCCGCUACCUAACGGGUAGGAGUCAGUGAUGGCUGGUCAGUGUAGAAGAAAAUAACCGCCUCUUUUCCCUUGUGGAGGAGGUAAGGGUGAGAAGGUAGAGUAAGAGCCUACCAGGCGUAUGGCAACAUGCGUGCUGUGCACUCCGGAUGUUGAAAGUUCGCGUAUACCAGCGCUGUUUCUACAACCUUGUGGGCGUAGAUUCGAGAAGGCUGUCCGUCUGAGCUGGAGGGUAGAACGAUAGAGAUUGGUGGUGACGCCAAUAGUGGAUAAAUGACAAGCGGCAAUAACUUGCAUGCAAAUACUUUUAUGCAUUUUAUUGUGCACAGAACCCGGCUUAUAGAACCACUGUUUCU